rnacentral:rRNA from 1 species
GACGAACGCUGGCGGCGUGCCUAAUACAUGCAAGUUGAGCGAUGAAGAUUGGUGCUUGCACCAAUUUGAAGAGCAGCGAACGGGUGAGUAACGCGUGGGGAAUCUGCCUUUGAGCGGGGGACAACAUUUGGAAACGAAUGCUAAUACCGCAUAACAACUUUAAACAUAUGUUUUAAGUUUGAAAGAUGCAAUUGCAUCACUCAAAGAUGAUCCCGCGUUGUAUUAGCUAGUUGGUGAGGUAAAGGCUCACCAAGGCGAUGAUACAUAGCCGACCUGAGAGGGUGAUCGGCCACAUUGGGACUGAGACACGGCCCAAACUCCUACGGGAGGCAGCAGUAGGGAAUCUUCGGCAAGGGACGAAAGUCUGACCGAGCAACGCCGCGUGAGUGAAGAAGGUUUUCGGAUCGUAAAACUCUGUUGGUAGAGAAGAACGUUGGUGAGAGUGGAAAGCUCAUCAAGUGACGGUAACUACCCAGAAAGGGACGGCUAACUACGUG